rnacentral:rRNA from 1 species
AACGAACGCUGGCGGCAGGCCUAACACAUGCAAGUCGAGCGAGACCUUCGGGUCUAGCGGCGGACGGGUGAGUAACGCGUGGGAAUAUGCCCUUCUCUACGGAAUAGCCUCGGGAAACUGGGAGUAAUACCGUAUACGCCCUUCGGGGGAAAGAUUUAUCGGAGAAGGAUUAGCCCGCGUUGGAUUAGGUAGUUGGUGGGGUAAUGGCCUACCAAGCCGACGAUCCAUAGCUGGUUUGAGAGGAUGAUCAGCCACACUGGGACUGAGACACGGCCCAGACUCCUACGGGAGGCAGCAGUGGGGAAUCUUAGACAAUGGGCGCAAGCCUGAUCUAGCCAUGCCGCGUGAUUGAUGAAGGCCUUAGGGUUGUAAAGAUCUUUCAGCUGGGAAGAUAAUGACGGUACCAGCAGAAGAAGCCCCGGCUAACUCCGUGCCAGCCGCCGCCGUAA